rnacentral:rRNA from 1 species
UCAAAAACAUGGUUUUAUGNUUUUAUUAUUUAAGAUCUGGCCUGCUCGAUGCGUAUGUUAAUGGCCGCGGUAUAUUGACCGUGCGAAGGUAGCAUAAUAAUUAGGCUAUUAAUUGUAGUCUUGUAUGAAAGGUUGAACAUGGGAAAUUCUUUCUUAUGUAUAUUGUUGAAUUUAAAUAAUUAGUAAGAAUGCUAAUAUGAGUUAAAGGGACGAGAAGACCCUAUUGAGUUUUAUAUUUAAGUUUUUGGUUAUGUUUGAUUUAUAAUAUGAUGGUUAAUAUUUGGUUGGGGCGACUAUUUUAAUUAAACAUUAUAUUUUAUUUGUAUUAAUUUUUGAUCCAUUAUUAGUGAUUAAUAGAAUAAAUUACCAUAGGGAUAACAGCAUAAUUUAUUUGGAGAGUUCUUAUUGAUAAAUAAGUUUGUGACCUCGAUGUUGGAUUAGGGUUCCUAUUGGGUGUAGGUGCUCAAUAAGGUAGACUGUUCGUCUAUUAAAUUCUUACGUGAUCUGA